GGGUUGUGAGGUUAAGCGACUAAGCGUACACGGUGGAUGCCUAGGCAGUCAGAGGCGAUGAAGGGCGUGCUAAUCUGCGAAAAGCGUCGGUAAGCUGAUAUGAAGCGUUAUAACCGACGAUACCCGAAUGGGGAAACCCAGUGCAAUACGUUGCACUAUCGUUAGAUGAAUACAUAGUCUAACGAGGCGAACCGGGGGAACUGAAACAUCUAAGUACCCCGAGGAAAAGAAAUCAACCGAGAUUCCCCCAGUAGCGGCGAGCGAACGGGGAGGAGCCCAGAGUCUGAAUCAGUUUGUGUGUUAGUGGAAGCGUCUGGAAAGUCGCACGGUACAGGGUGAUAGUCCCGUACACCAAAAUGCACAGGCUGUGAACUCGAUGAGUAGGGCGGGACACGUGACAUCCUGUCUGAAUAUGGGGGGACCAUCCUCCAAGGCUAAAUACUCCUGACUGACCGAUAGUGAACCAGUACCGUGAGGGAAAGGCGAAAAGAACCCCGGCGAGGGGAGUGAAAUAGAACCUGAAACCGUGUACGUACAAGCAGUGGGAGCACCUUCGUGGUGUGACUGCGUACCUUUUGUAUAAUGGGUCAGCGACUUAUAUUUUGUAGCAAGGUUAACCGAAUAGGGGAGCCGUAGGGAAACCGAGUCUUAACUGGGCGUCUAGUUGCAAGGUAUAGACCCGAAACCCGGUGAUCUAGCCAUGGGCAGGUUGAAGGUUGGGUAACACUAACUGGAGGACCGAACCGACUAAUGUUGAAAAAUUAGCGGAUGACUUGUGGCUGGGGGUGAAAGGCCAAUCAAACCGGGAGAUAGCUGGUUCUCCCCGAAAGCUAUUUAGGUAGCGCCUCGUGAACUCAUCUUCGGGGGUAGAGCACUGUUUCGGCUAGGGGGCCAUCCCGGCUUACCAAACCGAUGCAAACUCCGAAUACCGAAGAAUGUUAUCACGGGAGACACACGGCGGGUGCUAACGUCCGUCGUGAAGAGGGAAACAACCCAGACCGCCAGCUAAGGUCCCAAAGUCAUGGUUAAGUGGGAAACGAUGUGGGAAGGCACAGACAGCCAGGAUGUUGGCUUAGAAGCAGCCAUCAUUUAAAGAAAGCGUAAUAGCUCACUGGUCGAGUCGGCCUGCGCGGAAGAUGUAACGGGGCUAAACCAUGCACCGAAGCUGCGGCAGCGAC
rnacentral:rRNA from 1 species